CCUACGGGAGGCAGCAGUGGGGAAUAUUGCACAAUGGGGGAAACCCUGAUGCAGCGACGCCGCGUGAGUGAAGAAGUAUUUCGGUAUGUAAAGCUCUAUCAGCAGGGAAGAACUAAAGUCCUUCGGACUUUGGACGGUACCUGACUAAGAAGCCCCGGCUAACUCCGUCCCAGCAGCCGCGGUAAUACGGAGGGGGCAAGCGUUAUCCCGAUUUACUGGGUGAAAUGGGAGCGUAGACGGCAGCGCAAGUCUGGAGUAAAAUUCCAUGGCUUAACCAUGGAACUGCUUUGGAAGCUGUGCAGCUGGAGUGCAGGAGAGGUAAGCGGAAUUCCUAGUGGAGCGGUGAAAUGCGUAGAUAUUAGGAGGAACACCAGUGGCGAAGGCGGCUUACUGGACUGUAACUGACGUUGAGGCUCGAAAGCGUGGGGAGCAAACAGGAUGAGAUACCCGAGUAC
rnacentral:rRNA from 1 species